CUCGCUCCGCUCUUACGCAGAGGUUCCUAGGAGGGUCCCUCAUUGUCCCCGCCCCUUAUCCUGCCAUUUGGCCCACGCGACCUGAGGCAUAACACCACAGCCUCGAAAUCGCGAGAUUUCGAAGAAGCCCACCCUGCCCGCCCUGAGUCGGCGCGGACCGAGGCCCCGCCCCACUGGGCUAACUCAGCAAGGGUGUGGGUGUGGUCCAGCGCAUGCGCCUGUUGGGAUGCCGCGUGGUUGCUGCUGUCGCAAAGUGUUUGCUCCUCUUUGCUCCCCCCUCAAAAGCGCUUGAGUCACUGAGUCCCGAGCUCCACCAAUACUAGCGGCGUGACCUUGGGGCAUUUUUGUCACCUUCAGGCCUCAGUCUCCUUGUCUUCCACUCAUGGGGCUUUUUUCCGGGUUACCUGUCAAGCGAGACCCCUCUCUCCCUCUCUGACACGGGGUCUGGGAGCUCCAGCAGCGGCGGUGCAGGAAGGGUCUGCGCGCUGGAGGAAGGAUGGCGGACAACCCAUCCCCAUUCCUGUCCUUGUACACAAGGAAGACGUCUCUGGUGAUUUGGAAGAUUCUGAUACAUAGAUCAACAAUAGUUCAUCACAGAGGCCCCACUGAGACCCAGUCUGAGCUGCCUGUUGCUGCAAGACCCCAACCUUCAAGCAAGUGUGGUGCCCACAGAAGCCCCUUGUGCCUUGCUGCUUGCAGCUUGUCGAGUCCCUGAUGCCAUGCUUAAGGCUGCCUUCCUUCAACAUCUUCCUAGAAGCUUCUUCAUGAUCUUCAACUGGAGAUUUUUCUGUGGGAACAGACAUCAGAGCAAAACUGCUCUUACACGUCAUUGGAAUGGGCCCCAAUCAGCAGUCAUGUUGCUGGUCCAUUGCAUUCUAUCUGGAGUCUUAAAUGCAUUUGUGUAAAAUGAUCUCGCAUCAGGUGACUGCUGUGAUGAGAACAAACUGGUCAUGAAGGUCAUCCUCCAAGACAGUUAACUAUGAAGAUGGCUGACAGUGUCCAGCAGCAAAGUAUGGGAUCUCAGGUUUUCUCUGAAUGGGCCAACCUCUCAAAAGUGAGAUCAUAACCAAAAUGGGGGACUGAGAAUGGAAGAUACAAAAGAACAGUGGCCUGGCCAUAUAUAAAAAUAGGACUCUGACAUGAGGUCUGCAGCAACCAGCCCAGGAAAUCAACCCACUUUCUUCAGUUUUGGCAUAUUACCUAGAAGUCAGACGUGUAGGUGUCAGACCGCUCUCUCGAGCAAACAGCCCCGGAAGCUAAAUAAUAACCUCUGUAUUGAAUUGACUGGCCCAAAAUGGCCAAGACUUGAUUUGCCACUGCGAGUAUCCCUGAAUUUUGCCUCACUUGCAACUUAAGACCAGCAGAUAAAACCACAGAUGCACCCCUAACAAUGGUAUAGGAUGCCCUUCUUCUAGAACACUCACCAUAGCUUCCUUAUGCCAAUAGUCUCCUGCAUCACUGAGGCCUUGUAUUAUUCUGUCUCUACAAAGUUUCUCUAACUUCUGUCCAUCUCUGAGUCUGCCCAAAGGCAAGGGAUAGUGGCUGACUCCCUUGCUCUAGCAAAUUUUGAAGAAAUCACCUGUACUUAUUAUCAUUUGUUUCGUCUUUAUUUGUAUCCACAGCAACACUGAGUAGUGUCAAAAAACACUGAAUGGUUCAGGUAGGGAGCUGGGCUAAGUCAAGAGUGCUGGGCCCACCCUGCUGGGGACCCACUGAAGUCUGCUUCUAGCUCAAGUACUCCUUACACUGGUAUUUUCCUGAUUUGGGUGGUUCUGGAAAUGCAUAACUUUCCCAUUCCCUUCAACUCCCUAGACUUCUCCAGCAAGCAUCUGGUUCCAGAAGUUCUAUGGUCUUGGUGUUCAGCUUUGGAAACAUUGAGACCAAGUUCUGAAACAACCAUGUGGAACUGCUGAGUAAGAAAGUCGAGAUGGUGUGGGCUAGAGAUUUUAAAAUUGAAUCGAGGCCAUCCUAGGUCAGAAAGAUUGGAAAUUAUCAGUAUAGAUGCUACCUGAAAGAAAAAGAAAGUAGGAAAAUAUGUCUGGUGAUCCUCAAGUAGUGUCCUGGGGAGGGGGUCUCCAAGAUGUUAUGGGGAAGGCACUCCCAGAGGAGAUAAGGCUCUGUCCCCUGCCACAAAAGGGUCUAGACUCAUCAAAAGGAUGACGAGUCUGUAGAAACUGGAUCUGGGGGAUGAAGGAAGGAGCAGGGAAAGUGGAUACUCAGAGCCAGAACAGCUAGGCUUAGUCCAUGCAGCUUAGACACUUCAAUCAAUAGCCAGUGAGACAUGGAAGGCCACAGACAAUUUAUGAAGCCACCAAAGCACUAGCCCAGGUGGCCACUCUCCCAAUUACUUCACAAUACCUGCUCAUCCAGAGCUGGUCAGUUGAAGGGAAGCUAAUUCUUAGCAGAGCCAUCAUGUGACCAUUGGUUUGGAAUGUCUUGGCUUUUGAGUCAGCUUGGGAGCCAAACAACCCUGCUCAGUGAGGGUGUUCAACUGGUCACCUGGAAGGCACCAUGUGAGAUGGCUGAUUGUGUGAAGAUGCCGGGGAAGGAUGGCCCACAUUGGGCUUCCCCUCAUCCUUCAGAGGGGCUUCACUUGGGGGCAACUGCAUCGUGUUUUGGGUCCAGGAUUGAAACCUAGAGAUGGGAAACUGAGUUAGGAUCUGGGUUUUUCUCUUGGCUCAGGCACCUCCUCCAAGGCAUCAACUGUCUCCUUCACAGAAAAUGGGGCAGGAGGAUUUGAGGAAGAGACUGAGGGGCCCCUGGUUAGGGGUGCAGGGCAUGAUUUCAGGUGUUCAGUGAUCUCUCUCUCCAGGGAACCAGCUAAAUUUCUGUCUUGAACACCCAACUAAACAGUUUAGUGACUUUUGGUGAGUCACUUUUUCUCUCUAAAUUUGAAUGCCCCCACUGUAAAAUACAGAUGAUAGGCCCUGCUCUGCCGCCUCCCACCUCAACAGGGCUGACACAGAAACCACAGGAGAUCACAGAUAUUCUCUUUGAGCUGUAAGCAUCUCUCCAUAUAAAGGCUAACAGGAAGCUUACAUCCUCGCCUGUUGUGGAGCCAUCCACAACACCUCUCUGGAUUCAACCACUACCAAGUGUCUACCUUAUUUAGUGAUUGAACACCUAGGGUAGUUAUGAAACACCAGCCACUUAUUUUUCUGAAGACUUUACUUGUAUUUAAUCAUUUUGAGCUCACAACUUAAUACUAAAAAUUAGGCCCUAUUAACAUUUCAAUAUCUCAGAACAGAGAAACAAGUCACAGAGGGGUCUAUACAACUUUCUCAGGUACAUGGAGCUUCUAAGCAGAGUUUUGACCCAGGCCUUCAGUCAUGGACUAUGUACUUGCUGUGCUUCUAUAAUGCCUCAGGGAAAUAAAGCUAUUUGCUCACAAAACCUGUCUGUUGGGUGUUCGAAGUAUACACCCAGUUGCAAGAUCUCUAGAAGUCCAACUUGGCUUCACAAGGCUCUGCUGGUCAGCUGGUGAAUAAUGGAAUCAAAAGAUUGAUUGUGAAUACAUUAUCACUAAUUUCCCUAUGGACUUCUACAGCAAGGUGUCAGCAGUUCUCUCUAUUGCAAUGCAUUUCCCAGGAUCUUGUUUCAAGGAUGAAGAAGAAGAAAUGUUCCCCUGAGGUCAAGAAUAUCAACUGGCACCAGGCAGUGCUUCAGAAAACUCCACAUCUGGCAAACAACAGGGGGUACUCUAUAAAUGACCCCACUGAGGUAUUGUGGAAAUUCACUCAUUAAGCUCAUUCCAGAAGAAGGAUUCUACUUUAGUCAGUGUCCCAUAUUUAAUAGAAAACCAUACAAAUCUAAACCAUAUUCUUCUGUAUGCAAAGGGGAAUGAUCAAGGCAAUCAGUUGUGCUGUAACUGUAUAGAAGUCGAGAUACAUUUCUAACUCAAGAUUGGGCACACGUUUUACACUAAACAACAUCUCUAGCUGUUGUAUAGACCUUUAGCUGAUUUGUGAACAUUGGCUCUAACAGAUCUCUUCUUAAAACAGUGUUUACAGAUUUUUAAGAACCUUAAUAGGCAUUAUUUAGAACAGGAGGUUUAGAUGAAUGUAAGAGUUGAACAGAUAAUGUAGAAAGUUCCCAUAUUCUACCCCUCCAGUUUCCCCAACUGAUAACAUCUAACACGAGUGUAGUACCUUUGGUAUAACUAGCAAAAUCAUAAU